rnacentral:rRNA from 1 species
UAUUAUACUAAAAAAGUUUAGAAACUUAAAUAUUAUAAGAUAAAAUCUUUAAAUUUAAAGAAUUUGGCGGUAAUUUAGUCUUUCCAGAGGAACCUGUUUUUUAAUCGAUAAACCGCGAAUAAUCUUACUUAUUUUAUUCAAUAUAAGAAGUUUGUAUACCGUCAUUAUCAGAUAAUGUUUAGAGAAAUAUUAUUGAACUUUAAAUAAUAUAAAAAAUUAGAUCAAGGUGCAGCUUAUAAAUAAGUUAAAAUGGGUUACAAUUAAGUUUAUAUAAUAAUGGAAUUAAAAUUGAAAAUAUUUUAAAGAAGGAGGAUUUGGUUGUAAUGGGAAUUAGUAAGAUAAAAAGAUAUAAGCUCUAAAUUAU